rnacentral:rRNA from 1 species
UACGUAGGUGGCGAGCGUUGUCCGGAUUUACUGGGCGUAAAGAGCGCGCAGGCGGUCGUACAAGUCGCGUGUGAAAGCCCCUGGCUCAACUGGGGAGGGUCACGCGAUACUGUUCGACUCGAAGGCAGGAGAGGGAAGUGGAAUUCCCGGUGUAGUGGUGAAAUGCGUAGAUAUCGGGAGGAACACCAGUGGCGAAGGCGGGUCUCUGGGCCGAUACUGACGCUGAGGAGCGAAAGCGUGGGGAGCGAACAGG